CUGGGGAAGCAGAGCUAUUACCUUGAAAAAAUUAGAGUGCUUAAAGCAGGCUAGUGCUUGAAUAGAUUAGCAUGGAAUAAUAAAAUAGGACGGCAUGGUUCUAUUUUGUUGGUUUCUAGGAUCACCGUAAUGAUUAAUAGGGAUAGUUGGGGGCAUUAGUAUUCAAUUGUCAGAGGUGAAAUUCUUGGAUUUAUUGAAGACUAACUUCUGCGAAAGCAUUUGCCAAGGAUGUUUUCAUUAAUCAAGAACGAAAGUUAGGGGAUCGAAGACGAUCAGAUACCGUCGUAGUCUUAACCAUAAACUAUGCCGACUAGGGAUCGGACGAUGUUAAUUUUUAAUGACUCGUUCGGCGCCUUACG
rnacentral:rRNA from 1 species